rnacentral:misc_RNA from 1 species
UGAUAAGACCGUUUUAAAUGAGUCCUUGAAUGCCCUAUUUCCCUUGAAAUUUCCCAUGGGAUAAAAAAGACUACGGCAGUAAAUAUUGCCGAUCUGACCUUACGGCUAUCAAGUAACAUUUUAAUCAAAUUAAAAUUAAAUCGAUCGGACUUGAAGGUAUUCAUUCUGCCAUGUUUCCGAUUUUCUAUUAUUAUGUCAAGUUUAUUGUGAGUUAUUUUGUGUCAGGUGCAAGAGAAGGCAAAAGUUACUAUUUUUCAAUGAUUUAUUAUACGGUUGGUUUAAAAAAUGAAGAGUACCGAAUCAAGAGAGAAUCUUAUUGAAAAGUCCAAUGAAGAGCUGGAUGCCGCGGUAUUGUUAAACGACCCAAUCGAAAGGCCGCUCUCACAGAUUGAGAAGACUUUCUUAUUGCAUGCAGAAAGAGGAGACUUGGCAACAGUUAAAAAAAUAAUCGACCAGUAUAAAAAUACUCCGGAAGAAUUCGAUAUCAACUGUGUCGAUCCUUUAAAUCGAUCUGCACUCAUUGCGGCAAUUGAAAAUGAAAAUAUUGAACUUAUAAAAUUAUUACUAAAUGAGGGCAUCAAGGUUAAGGAUGGAUUACUGCAUGCCAUUAAAGAAGAAUACGUAGAGGCCGUCGAAGUUUUAUUAAAUUGGGAAGAGUCGAAUCAUAAAGAGAAUGAAGCAUAUAGUUGGGAAAAAGUUGAUCGAUCAGGUGCCUCCUUUACGUCCGACAUUACUCCUUUAAUUUUAGCAGCUCACAAAAACAACUAUGAAAUCAUUAAGCUUCUUUUGGAUAGAGGAGCUACUUUACCGAUGCCUCAUGAUGUCAGAUGCGGCUGCGACGACUGCGUUCACUCUUCGAAAGCAGAUUCUCUAAGACAUUCUCAAAGUCGUAUUAAUGCAUACAGAGCGCUGUCAUCUCCGUCCUUGAUCUGUCUAUCAUCUAGUGAUCCGCUUCUAACUGCUUUUGAAUUAAGCUGGGAUUUAAGGAGGUUAAGUAGGAUGGAAACGGAAUUCAGAGCUGAAUACAACGAAAUGAGAAGCCAGGUUCAAAAUUUUGCGACGUCACUAUUAGAUCAUGCAAGAACGUCUUCUGAAUUGGAAAUAAUGUUAAACUACGAUCCAAAUGGCGAUGUGUGGGUUUCCGGUGAACGACAAACAUUAGAAAGGUUAAAGUUAGCAAUCAAGUACAAACAAAAGAAGUUCAUUGCACACCCAAGUGUGCAACAACUUCUUGCAGCAAUCUGGUAUGAAGGCCUACCUGGAUUCAGAAGAAAAAACAUGAUCGGGCAAGGCAUACAAGUAGCAAAGUUAGGAGCCAUGUUUCCGGUAUAUUGCUCGAUUUACAUGAUGGCUCCCAACUCUAAAAUGGGACUGUUUAUGCAAAAACCUUUUGUUAAGUUCAUAGUACAUUCUGCAUCAUAUGGCCUGUUUUUAAUGUUAUUAGGUGCUGCGUCCCAAAGGGUCGAAGUAUUAGCUUUAGAAUGGUUUGGCACGGAUUGGAUGCAAGAUAUGGUUAAAGAAUGGAAAAGGAAAGAGCGCGGUGCCCUAUUCGGGUUGGCAGAAUGUGGAGUCAUAUUAUAUGUUAUAAGUCUAAUCUGGUCCGAAAUGAAAUCUCUGUGGUCCGAUGGAAUAAUGGAGUAUAUUUCCGACUUGUGGAAUAUCGUGGAUUUUAUUACUAAUGUUUUUUACGUUAUUUGGUUAUCCUUACGACUAACGUCUUGGUAUGUUUGCUGGCUAGAGAGAUGAUCGAAUAGGUAAACCGACUUGGUACCCUAGAGAAGAGUGGGAUUCUUUUGAGCCAAUGUUAUUAUCCGAGGGUGCUUUUGCUGCAGGAAUGAUUUUCAGCUUUCUUAAGUUAGUUCACAUAUUUAGCGUCAAUCCUCACCU